rnacentral:lncRNA from 1 species
CCAUUCCGUUGUAAUCCCACAAAUUACCGAAAAAAAAACUUAUAGUAUACCUACAGCACAGAUGGAAUUCCCAUUCCAUUUUUAUCCGUUUAAAAUUAAAAUUAAAAUAAAAACUUGCAACCUCUUGCAACAUUUGUUAUUUGUGACACUGAUUCGGUAAAGGUCGUUGGAAAAUUACCUUUAUUAUGUGUCGUCAUCUCAUAUGUCAUACUUAAGCCAAAUUUAUCACACGGAAAUUAUAUUUAUAAACACAAAAUUAAGGUUUAAAUUAUUUAAAUUACUAAAAAUAGUAAUUUUAAUUAUUAAAAAACAUACUAUAGCAUAAUAUGGUCGAACAUAAAGAUGGCUGGCUUAUUCAUCAUAGUCGUGAACAAACGCUUAUAGUACAGAUUGGUGUAUUCAAGAAUACUGCAGUAUUGCAAUUGAUCGUAAUUUUUAUUUAUCUAUAUGAAGUUUGUGAUAGUUAUUUUUUUACAACACAGGGGGCAAACGAGCAUGCGGCUCACCUGAUGGUGCAACCGCUGUCGUGGUCAAGCAAAAACUAUUCUACGAGUAAAAUACCGCUUUCCGGUUCGUAUUCGACGUAGAACAAGUUUAAAGAAGUGGGGAGGCACAUUCUAGUAGCGGCCCUUAAAUUCUAUUCAUUUACAAUGGUCAUAGAUAGGGGAAAUGGGGCUAGUGCCAGAAGCAGAAGACACCAGCUUACUAGCCAAAAAAAAACGUGCAUUGUAUUUCAUUGACUGGCCACUCACCAGUAUUUUGCUAAGAAAUGUAUGUCAGAGAGAUU